CACUCUAAGUCUACUUCCACAGUCUUCACUUCAUGCAUCUGAGGAAGUAAACUUGGACUACA
rnacentral:pre_miRNA from 1 species